UCAAAUGAAUUGACGGGGGAGCACCACAACGGGUGGAGCUUGCGGUUUAAUUGGAUUCAACGCCGGAAAUCUUACCGGGACCGACAGCAAUAUGAAGGCCAGGCUGAAGACUUUGCCGGAUUAGCUGAGAGGUGGUGCAUGGCCGUCGUCAGUUCGUACUGUGAAGCAUCCUGUUAAGUCAGGCAACGAGCGAGACCCACGCCCACAGUUGCCAGCGUACUCUCUGGAGUGACGGGUACACUGUGGGGACCGCCGCUGCUAAAGCGGAGGAAGGAAUGGGCAACGGUAGGUCAGUAUGCCCCGAAUAUCCCGGGCUACACGCGAGCUACAAUGGUUGGUACAAUGGGUAUCUACCCCGAAAGGGGACGGGAAUCUCCUAAAACCAAUCUUAGUUCGGAUUGAGGGCUGCAACUCGCCCUCAUGAAGCUGGAAUCCGUAGUAAUCGCGUUUCAACAGAACGCGGUGAAUACGUCCCUGCUCCUU
rnacentral:rRNA from 1 species